AUUCCGUUAGUAGUGGCGAGCGAAAGCGGAUUAGCCCAAACCGAUGUUGUUUCGGCAAUAUCGGGGUUGUAGGACCACGACAUUCGGUGCGUAAUGAACUGGAACAAGUUGGAAAGCUUGGCCGUAGAGGGUGAUAGCCCCUUACAGGUAAAGACCGUUACCGAUAGUGGUAUCCUGAGUAGCGCGGGGCACGUGAAACCUUGCGUGAAUCUGGCGGGACCAUCCGCCAAGGCUAAAUACUCCUGAGAGACCGAUAGUGAACCAGUACCGUGAGGG
rnacentral:rRNA from 1 species